AGCUGUGGAUUGUCCUUUGGACAAUGGUAGGAGAGCGUUCUAAGGGCGUUGAAGCAUGAUCGUAAGGACAUGUGGAGCGCUUAGAAGUGAGAAUGCCGGUGUGAGUAGCGAAAGACGGGUGAGAAUCCCGUCCACCGAUUGACUAAGGUUUCCAGAGGAAGGCUCGUCCGCUCUGGGUUAGUCGGGUCCUAAGCUGAGGCCGACAGGCGUAGGCGAUGGAUAACAGGUUGAUAUUCCUGUACCACCUAUAAUCGUUUUAAUCGAUGGGGGGACGCAGUAGGAUAGGCGAAGCGUGCGAUUGGAUUGCACGUCUAAGCAGUAAGGCUGAGUAUUAGGCAAAUCCGGUACUCAUUAAGGCUGAGCUGUGAUGGGGAGAAGACAUUGUGUCUUCGAGUCGUUGAUUUCACACUGCCGAGAAAAGCCUCUAGAUAGAAAAUAGGUGCCCGUACCGCAAACCGACACAGGUAGUCAAGAUGAGAAUUCUAAGGUGAGCGAGCGAACUCUCGUUAAGGAACUCGGCAAAAUGACCCCGUAACUUCGGGAGAAGGGGUGCUCUUUAGGGUUAACGCCCAGAAGAGCCGCAGUGAAUAGGCCCAAGCGACUGUUUAUCAAAAACACAGGUCUCUGCUAAACCGUAAGGUGAUGUAUAGGGGCUGACGCCUGCCCGGUGCUGGAAGGUUAAGAGGAGUGGUUAGCUUCUGCGAAGCUACGAAUCGAAGCCCCAGUAAACGGCGGCCGUAACUAUAACGGUCCUAAGGUAGCGAAAUUCCUUGUCGGGUAAGUUCCGACCCGCACGAAAGGCGUAACGAUUUGGGCACUGUCUCAACGAGAGACUCGGUGAAAUCAUAGUACCUGUGAAGAUGCAGGUUACCCGCGACAGGACGGAAAGACCCCGUGGAGCUUUACUGUAGCCUGAUAUUGAAAUUCGGCACAGCUUGUACAGGAUAGGUAGGAGCCUUUGAAACGUGAGCGCUAGCUUACGUGGAGGCGCUGGUGGGAUACUACCCUAGCUGUGUUGGCUUUCUAACCCGCACCACUUAUCGUGGUGGGAGACAGUGUCAGGCGGGCAGUUUGACUGGGGCGGUCGCCUCCUAAAAGGUAACGGAGGCGCUCAAAGGUUCCCUCAGAAUGGUUGGAAAUCAUUCAUAGAGUGUAAAGGCAUAAGGGAGCUUGACUGCGAGACCUACAAGUCGAGCAGGGUCGAAAGACGGACUUAGUGAUCCGGUGGUUCCGCAUGGAAGGGCCAUCGCUCAACGGAUAAAAGCUACCCCGGGGAUAACAGGCUUAUCUCCCCCAAGAGUUCACAUCGACGGGGAGGUUUGGCACCUCGAUGUCGGCUCAUCGCAUCCUGGGGCUGUAGUCGGUCCCAAGGGUUGGGCUGUUCGCCCAUUAAAGCGGUACGCGAGCUGGGUUCAGAACGUCGUGAGACAGUUCGGUCCCUAUCCGUCGUGGGCGUAGGAAAUUUGAGAGGAGCUGUCCUUAGUACGAGAGGACCGGGAUGGACAUACCUCUGGUGUACCAGUUGUCGUGCCAACGGCAUAGCUGGGUAGCUAUGUGUGGACGGGAUAAGUGCUGAAAGCAUCUAAGCAUGAAGCCCCCCUCAAGAUGAGAUUUCCCAACUUCGGUUAUAAGAUCCCUCAAAGAUGAUGAGGUUAAUAGGUUCGAGGUGGAAGCAUGGUGACAUGUGGAGCUGACGAAUACUAAUCGAUCGAAGACUUAAUCAA
rnacentral:rRNA from 1 species